GACGAACGCUGGCGGCGUGCUUAACACAUGCAAGUCGAGCGGUAAGGCCCUUUCGGGGGUACACGAGCGGCGAACGGGUGAGUAACACGUGGGUGACCUACCCUCAGCUCUGGGAUAAGCCUGGGAAACCGGGUCUAAUACUGGAUAUGACUCCAUGACGCAUGUUGUGGGGUGGAAAGCCUUGUGCGGCUGAGGAUGGGCCCGCGGCCUAUCAGCUUGUUGGUGGGGUGANGGCCUACCAAGGCGACGACGGGCAGCCGGCCUGAGAGGGCGACCGGCCACACUGGGACUGAGACACGGCCCAGACUCCUACGGGAGGCAGCAGUGGGGAAUCUUGCGCAAUGGGCGAAAGCCUGACGCAGCGACGCCGCGUGAGGGAUGAC
rnacentral:rRNA from 1 species